rnacentral:rRNA from 1 species
AUGCCUUACACAUGCAAGUCGAACGGCAGCACGGGGGCAACCCUGGGGGCGAGUGGCGAACGGGUGAGUAAUACAUCGGAACGUGUCCUGUAGUGGGGGAUAGCCCGGCGAAAGCCGGAUUAAUACCGCAUACGAUCUACGGAUGAAAGCGGGGGAUCUUCGGACCUCGCGCUAUAGGGGCGGCCGAUGGCGGAUUAGCUAGUUGGUGGGGUAAAGGCUCACCAAGGCGACGAUCCGUAGCUGGUCUGAGAGGACGACCAGCCACACUGGGACUGAGACACGG